rnacentral:rRNA from 1 species
AAUCCAUAGGUUAAUGAGGCGAACCGGGGGAACUGAAACAUCUAAGUACCCCGAGGAAAAGAAAUCAACCGAGAUUCCCCCAGUAGCGGCGAGCGAACGGGGAGCAGCCCAGAGCCUGAAUCAGUGUGUGUGUUAGUGGAAGCGUCUGGAAAGGCGCGCGAUACAGGGUGACAGCCCCGUACACAAAAAUGCACAUGCUGUGAGCUCGAUGAGUAGGGCGGGACACGUGGUAUCCUGUCUGAAUAUGGGGGGACCAUCCUCCAAGGCUAAAUACUCCUGACUGACCGAUAGUGAACCAGUACCGUGAGGGAAAGGCGAAAAGAACCCCGGCGAGGGGAGUGAAAAAGAACCUGAAACCGUGUACGUACAAGCAGUGGGAGCACGCUUCGGCGUGUGACUGCGUACCUUUUGUAUAAUGGGUCAGCGACUUAUAUUCUGUAGCAAGGUUAACCGAAUAGGGGAGCCGAAGGGAAACCGAGUCUUAACUGGGCGUUAAGUUGCAGGGUAUAGACCCGAAACCCGGUGAUCUAGCCAUGGGCAGGUUGAAGGUUGGGUAACACUAACUGGAGGACCGAACCGACUAAUGUUGAAAAAUUAGCGGAUGACUUGUGGCUGGGGGUGAAAGGCCAAUCAAACCGGGAGAUAGCUGGUUCUCCCCGAAAGCUAUUUAGGUAGCGCCUCGUGAAUUCAUCUCCGGGGGUAGAGCACUGUUUCGGCAAGGGGGUCAUCCCGACUUACCAACCCGAUGCAAACUGCGAAUACCGGAGAAUGUUAUCACGGGAGACACACGGCGGGUGCUAACGUCCGUCGUGAAGAGGGAAACAACCCAGACCGCCAGCUAAGGUCCCAAAGUCAUGGUUAAGUGGGAAACGAUGUGGGAAGGCCCAGACAGCCAGGAUGUUGGCUUAGAAGCAGCCAUCAUUUAAAGAAAGCGUAAUAGCUCACUGGUCGAGUCGGCCUGCGCGGAAGAUGUAACGGGGCUAAACCAUGCACCGAAGCUGCGGCAGCGACGCUUAUGCGUUGUUGGGUAGGGGAGCGUUCUGUAAGCCUGUGAAGGUGUACUGUGAGGUAUGCUGGAGGUAUCAGAAGUGCGAAUGCUGACAUAAGUAACGAUAAAGCGGGUGAAAAGCCCGCUCGCCGGAAGACCAAGGGUUCCUGUCCAACGUUAAUCGGGGCAGGGUGAGUCGACCCCUAAGGCGAGGCCGAAAGGCGUAGUCGAUGGGAAACAGGUUAAUAUUCCUGUACUUGGUGUUACUGCGAAGGGGGGACGGAGAAGGCUAUGUUGGCCGGGCGACGGUUGUCCCGGUUUAAGCGUGUAGGCUGGUUUUCCAGGCAAAUCCGGAAAAUCAAGGCUGAGGCGUGAUGACGAGGCACUACGGUGCUGAAGCAACAAAUGCCCUGCUUCCAGGAAAAGCCUCUAAGCAUCAGGUAACAUCAAAUCGUACCCCAAACCGACACAGGUGGUCAGGUAGAGAAUACCAAGGCGCUUGAGAGAACUCGGGUGAAGGAACUAGGCAAAAUGGUGCCGUAACUUCGGGAGAAGGCACGCUGAUAUGUAGGUGAAGCGACUUGCUCGUGGAGCUGAAAUCAGUCGAAGAUACCAGCUGGCUGCAACUGUUUAUUAAAAACACAGCACUGUGCAAACACGAAAGUGGACGUAUACGGUGUGACGCCUGCCCGGUGCCGGAAGGUUAAUUGAUGGGGUUAGCGCAAGCGAAGCUCUUGAUCGAAGCCCCGGUAAACGGCGGCCGUAACUAUAACGGUCCUAAGGUAGCGAAAUUCCUUGUCGGGUAAGUUCCGACCUGCACGAAUGGCGUAAUGAUGGCCAGGCUGUCUCCACCCGAGACUCAGUGAAAUUGAACUCGCUGUGAAGAUGCAGUGUACCCGCGGCAAGACGGAAAGACCCCGUGAACCUUUACUAUAGCUUGACACUGAACAUUGAGCCUUGAUGUGUAGGAUAGGUGGGAGGCUUUGAAGUGUGGACGCCAGUCUGCAUGGAGCCGACCUUGAAAUACCACCCUU